rnacentral:lncRNA from 1 species
GUUUGUGAGCAGUGUGGCCUCAGCUUUGAUUGGAAGUCAGUUUUCAUCAUUCAUCUCCGCACACACACGAGAGGGCCAGGCCUGGAAAGACCAUCACAGGUAGCCUGGGAGCCGGCCAUGCGGCGCUCCCCUGGCCUUCGGGCCUAUACCUGUGUGGAGUGUGGGCGCAGCUUCAGCUGGAAGUCACAGCUGGUCAUCCACCGCAAGAGCCAUGCAGGCCAGCGGCGCCACUUCUGCGGGGACUGUGGGUGUAGUUUUGACUGGAAGUUUCAGUUGGUCAUUCAUAGGAAGAUCCACCAGCCAGAGGACCCAUGAGUAGCUGGAGAGGCAUGUCUCACCCUGGGUGCCUCCAGCCCCUGAUGCACCACUUCUGGCAUCCUCUUUAGCCAAGAGGAGGUUCUAAGGCACCCCAAGUAAGUCAGGGAUUGCAAGAAGAUUGCCCUGUCCAAUGCCAGGUUAUCCAGUGUAUGGAGAGGAGGCUGUUCCCUUCCUUUGGUUCCUGCUUUGUGGAGCCAGGCCUGGGUUGGAGUUACUAACCUAUGACUGGGGUCCAGCUUGUGCAAGAGGUGGACACUCCCUGCUUCAGGAUGCUCCGAAAUCACUUAGGUCCCUCCUAAGUGGCUGGGCAAGACAUCUCUGUGCAAGAUACUGGAAACCACAUCUGCCUUUCAAUCCUGCUGCAUGCGACCCUCAGACUAACAUGUUAGAUUUCUAAUGUAAGUUUUACUUCUAUAACAAGAAUUUCUAAGUAAACAUCCUGACUUUUGGUUCCACUGACCAAAAGAGCAGCCGUGUGUGCUAGUUAGCAGGCCACAGGAACCACAGGGCAGCCGGGCCCUGAAGAUCUAAUUAGUCACUUCUCUCCUCCAGCUACCCAGUUUCUUGUCCACACACAUUGCUCCCCACCUCCCUGGCCUUUGAAUUCCUGAACUUGGAUGGACUUGGAUGAAUAGUUGACUUUUCUUUGGGAGUGAGAAGGGACAAGAGUGGCUUCUGAGAAGUUAGACAACACGUAGGUGCCUCAGGCCAUGCAUGCCUCUGGGUGAAGGCUACACCCCACAUAGCCAGUUCACUACUAAACCGGAGGACAAAGGGCCACUCCCUACUGCCCAGGGAACAGUGACCCUCUGGACAGUCACUCAGGAUCUUUUCAGUGCACGGUGUCCUAUUAACUAUGCCUGUAAACUAGGUAGAUCAAAACAGAUUUACUUACUAAUUGUUCCGACAUCAAAGCGCUGAAGCAAGUCACACAAAUCAAAAACAGACUCACCCUGGAAGCUACCUGAGACCCUUGGCUGAUGACCUCUUUUUCCAUCUUUAGCAGUCGGUAGUUGUUUACCUUGGUGAAUCAUUCAUAUUUGAUUUCUGUUUGCAGGGCCUUUUGAGUGGCAUGGGGCCCGAUAUUCCAGGGUAAGGUGAUCACCUUAAGCUCAGACGAUAAAGUGGGACCUUUCUUUUGUUUGAGACAGGGUCUCCUAAUGCAGUAGCUGCUAACCUCUAACUGGUCCUCCUGUCUCAGCUUUCUAUAUGUUAAAACUAUAGGCUUAUACCACCAAGCCCAGGUUGAUAUUUUUAAAUUCUAUGUAUGUUUAAGACAGUCUCACUUUAAUGCCCUCAAACUAUCUGUAGUCCUCCAACCUCAGCCCCUGAGUGUUGGAAUUAAAGUUGUGUCAUUGGGCCAGGCUAAGACUUUAAAUUCUUUUAAUUUUAAAAUUUAGAAAUACAGAGCAGGAUUCAGUGUUGUAGGCAGAUCUCUGUUAGUUUGAGGUCAGACUGCUUUAUAUAGUGUGUUCCAGGAUAGCCUGGGGCUAUGUAGUGAGAUCCUGUCUUAAAAAUAAAUAAAGAAAUAAGCAAAUAAAUUCUGAAGAUGGGCACAUCAAAGUGUCAUCUAGAAACCUG